rnacentral:misc_RNA from 1 species
GAAACGCGAUAGUUAAUGUGAAUUGCAGAAUUUAGUGAAUCAUCGAGUCUUUGAACGCACAUUGCGCCCAUUGGUAUUCCAUUGGGCAUGUCUGUUUGAGCGUCAUUUCAACCCUCAGAACCCCUUGCGGGAUCUGGCGUUGGGGAUUGGCAUCCAGCCAGCCCCGAAAUCUAGUGGCGGUCCCUCCGCGACCUCCCCUGUGCAGUAGCGAUACCUCGCAGCGGGACAGCGGUCUGACCACGCCGUAAAACCCCCAACUUCUCAAGGUUGACCUCGAAUCAGGUAGGAAUACCCGCUGAACUUAAGC